GAUGAAGAACGUAGCGAAAUGCGAUAAGUAGUGUGAAUUGCAGAAUUCAGUGAAUCAUCGAAUCUUUGAACGCACAUUGCGCCCUUUGGUAUUCCUUAGGGCAUGCCUGUUCGAGCGUCAUUUAAACCUUCAAGCUAAGCUUGGUGUUGGGUGACUGUCCGCUUCACUGCGGACUCGCCUCAAAAUUAUUGGCGGCCGGUACAUUGGCUUCGAGCGCAGCAGAAACGCGAACUCGGGCCCGUCGUAUUGGCUCCCAGAAGCUAUCUUCACAAUUUUGACCUCGGAUCAGGUAGGGAUACCCGCUGAACUUAAGCAUAUCAAUAAGCGGGAGGA
rnacentral:misc_RNA from 1 species